rnacentral:rRNA from 1 species
AUUGAACGCUGGCGGCAGGCCUAACACAUGCAAGUCGAGCGGAGCGGCGGACGCGUGCGUAAUGCCUAGGUAUCUGCCUGGUAGUGGGGGCUAACGUCCGGAAACGGGCGCUAAUAUCGCAUCCUAUCAGAUUAGCCUCGGUCGGAUUAGCUAGUUGGUGGGGUAAAGGCAUACCAAGGCGACGAUCCGUAACUGGUCUGAGAGGAUGAUCAGUCACAAUGGAACUGAGAAACGGUCCAGACUCCUACGGGAGGCAGCAGUGGGGAAUAUUGGACAAUGGGCGAAAGCCUGAUCCAGCCAUGCCGCGUGUGUGAAGAAGGUCUUCGGAUUGUAAAGAACUUUAAGUAGGGAGGCGUUACCAACAGAAUAAGCACCGGCUAACUUCGUGCCAGCAGCCGCGGUAAUUC